rnacentral:SRP_RNA from 1 species
UGUUAGUUCCAAACACUGUAAAAUUGAAUACUUGGUCAGAUCUGGAAAGAAGCAGCCGCAUCAGCUAAUACAGGUGUUUGAUACAGCUAACAGAU